GGAGGGGUCUGUAGCUCAGUAGCAGAGCAUCUGCUUUGUUGGCAGAUGAUCCCAGGUUCAAUCCCUGGCUUCUCCA